rnacentral:lncRNA from 1 species
GAAUAGAUUAGCAAUCCCUCCUAAUCCCCGGCCUAGAACGAUACCCUACUUACAUCUAUACUACAAUUGUCAGAAAGAGGGUUUAAUUUGUGUGUCAAGUAAUUCUCGCAUCAUAGAACUCCUCAUAUGGCUGCCAAUAUGCAUCUUGUUGAGCCUCCUUGGCUUGAUUUUGUGAGCCCUGCACCAAAGAAUUUAAUUCAUUAAGAAUUUGAUUAUAAUCUAUUGACGAACCUGAGUUUGAUUGAGCAUAUUGCAUAGAUCUUGAAUAGAACUCCUCAUAUGGCUGCCAAUAUCCUUCGUGUUGAUCUUGUUGAGAUUCCCACCACAUAGAAGUUGAAUGAUCACUCCAAUCUCUUUGUGGACAUUGAUUGGCUUGAUAUGCUUGCCUAUAAGACCCACCAAAUGUAGGGACACUUUGUAAUGUGGUCCUUUCGGUAUACUGCGACAAUUGAGAAGUAAGAUUUGCCAAUUGAGCUUGAAUGCUAGCAAAUCCAUGUCUUACUUCUCUAGUACCUAAAAUCAAAGAAAGAGAACUAAAUCAAAUAUCAAAAGUAACACAAAACAAGGAAAACAAAACUAAGUCAGAAACUAAAACAGAAACAAACUAAACAAAAAGAAAAGAACCAAGGGAUUUAGCAAAGUUGAUAAUCCCCGGCAACGGCGCCAAAAUUUGAUGCGAAAUAUAUAAGCACACAAAUUAAACCCUCUUGUUGACAAUUGUAGUAUGAAUAAGUAGGGAUCGUUCUAGAUCGGGGAUUAGGAGGGAUUGCUAAACACUUGAAAACUGACUUAGAAACGUAAAAACAAAGUUUAAAACACUAGAUUAGACUCAAAGAAUGCAAAACUAAAGUUUAAAACACUAAAACAAACCAAAAACUCAAAACAGCAACCAAAAGACUCAAAACUGCCUUAAAAACACUUUUUGGGCAGUUUUGAGCACAAAGCACCAAAUUGGACGAAUUUGGGUUUUAACUUGUACCAAAACACUUAAAAACAUAAACCAAAACACUUUCUAACUAAUCUAGGACUUCAAAAUAAAUGGGGAUUUGAUUUGGACGAAAAUAAACUAACAAAACAGAUUGCAAAGUAAAAGCAGAUUUGAAAACGAUUUUGGGGUUUUAAAUGGAUGAUGGAUUAGUUAGAGGCUCCUUCUCCACACAUGACAAGUAUGCAAACGACUCGAUUUCCAAUUAUUCCUUCAUUGAAUUAUGAAUGACAAUGCCCCAAAUUAACCGUGAUAUCACUAGUUAAUUCUCAAGUUUUCCUUGUGUAAUUGGAUUGGAUGACAUCAUUCGACAACCCAAAGCAUUCCUCAAAAGUUCCCUACAUGACAUCAUAAUAAAGAUACAAUCAAAGAUCAUUACGUUCAAUGAAAACUAUAAGCAUUGACAAUGCACUUGCAACUAUGACAUCAUGUCACUCAUGCUAAGAAUUGGACUUAACACGAUCGUGACUAGCGACCUUUACUACAUAUGAAUAUAAGUGUGUGACGAUUAUGUGAAACAACCUUAUAUUCUAGCAUCAUAUUCAUGCAAGCCAAUUAAGUGUCGACCCCUAAUUAACAAACACAAAUAAGUUAUUACUCGCACAGUUAAGCCAAUUGCAUUCACGAUUCAAGAACUCAUAACUGGAAUUUAUCAAAUCAAAUUGCACACAUAGUCAUGGCUUCGAAAUCACCCCUAACCAAUAAGGGUUUAGUUCCUCAUAAUCGCAACACAAAGAUUAUUAAACUUAAACAUUGAAAACAAAAGAAAGAUUACACCUAGAAACGCUCCAACAAUCCAACGUCUUGAAUGGCGAGCACGUCCAAGGGUCUCCUUCUUUCUUCUUUGCUGCGACACAAGGGUGUUUGGUGAUGAUUUGUGGUGAAUUCUAAGUUUCAAUUUCAUUACUUUGCUUGCUAUGGCUUUAAGAACGUUUGUUAUCCCUAUCCUUCAUUUGUUAGCCAACACCCCAAGCCCCGUUACAACCCUUGAUUUCAAUCUUGAGUGUUAUGUGUUUCAAUUUGUGGAGUUUGAAUUUGGUAUGAGCAUAUGGUGUCACUGGUUCUCGCAUCUAAGUAGUAGCAUUCCAUUCAUGAGAUCAUAUCUUAACAUGCUUAUUAACUCUAGAAUUUCGUUCUUUGUGAUACAUAUAUGUGAGUGUUCGUUUCCAUAUCUACAUCAAUCUUCUCACAUAUAACUAGUAUAGGGUGUGUAGUUAGAAAAUCUGAGUGAAAAUUGAGUGCAUAUCUUGUAAGGAAUUGAGCAAAUUCUCUAAGGCAUGUUACUACAUCAAAAACAUUGUUUUAAUUGAUUAAUUGUGAACUAGUAAGUGGUGACUAUGAUUAAGCAUGUGCUUAAGUGUAAAGAUGACUAAAAUCUGUGGGGAAUAACGAUUUUUAACAUGUCAUGUGCAUUGGAAAUCCCUGAGGCAAAUGUUGGAAGGUUUAGGUUGUGUUUUAUUUGUUUUGUUUUGUUUUAUUUCUUUGAUUUCCUCGAGGACUAGCAAAAGUUAAGUGUGGGGGAAUUUGAUAGGAGCAUAUUUAUGCGACUUACUUGGCUUGUACCCGUGCAUUUAUGUUGUAUUUCCUUAGUUAUUUUAGUGUUUAAAGUCACUUUGUGUGUUUUCAGAUUCCAAAGCCGAAGUGUGCAAAAUGAUGUAAUUUGGAGUCUUUUGGAGCAAAAGGAAUGGAUGAAUUGAAGACGUGAAGAAAUUAGGAUUCCUAAUCAACGAAGGAUUCCUAAUUGAAGAUGGAUUCCUAAUCACAUGAGGAUUCUUAGAAGAACAAGGAUUCCUACUUGAAGUAGGAAAGUUAAGCCAAGGUUUCCUAUUUUGGUUUGACCUUUCCUAAUUCUAAAAGUACUCAUGUUCCAGCCACUUUGAGGACACAAAACAAAGGCCCUAGAACUCUUAGGGACCUUUGCCGCACCUUUCCCAAUCCUCCAUCCCCUUGCCAUGCAAGGGAUCCACUUCCCCUUCAGUUUUAGGACAUCAAACAUUUCCCUAAACCUUUCCCACAUCACAGCCGCAUUCCCUUGACCUUUCCUCUUCCUUGCCGUGCAAGGGAGAGUGAUUCUUUCCUAUUUUCUGAAUUAAAACACAUUCCUUUUGUGUUUCAUACCCUAGCCGCACCUUUUAGCUAAUUUCCCUUAAGUUUCUGAUUUUGUUUCCUAAUUCUAGAAGCCUUAAACUUAAUUUCUGUUUAUCUAAUGAACCUAGGGUUUUAAUUUCUAAAACCCUUUAAAUAAACUCCUCUUUUGCAGCCACAAAACAUCCAGAUACACUGCCCAUUCACGCCAGAAACUGAACUCCACUUUCAGCCGCACCAUUCUACCACCAUUCACCCAAAUUUCUACCACAAAUCACCCCUAGCCGCAUCACCCAUCAACCCUAAACACUUCCAUACGUCCCCCAUCCAUUCUACACCAUUUAAUAACCCAAAAACCUGCCCAAGGUCCUUGUGCCGCAGCAAAGGAGAGGAAGAAGAAGUACUUGAAGAUUCUAGCUGUUCAACAUCGAACCGUUAGAAUAUUUAGGUGUUCUCUUUCUUAUAUUUACAAUGUAUAAAUCUGUUUUCCUUUGUUUUUUGAACAUGAGGAACUAAGCCUUUUUGGCUAGGGGGUUGUUCGAUACCAUGAUUAUGCUUGCAAGAUGAAUUGAUUACGUCUAAUUGUUAUUUCAUGAAUUGUGAAUGCAAUUUGCUUAACCGUUUGAUUGAUGACUUAUUUUUGUGUGUGUUAAUUAAGGUGGCCAACUUAGUUUUCAUGCAGGAAUUUGAAGCUAAAACAUAAGGAAGUUUCACCUAAUAGUUACAACCUUAUGUUUGCAAGAAGUGGAGGUCGCUUAUAAACGAUCGUGUUAAGUGAAUUCUUGGCAAACGUUUCAUGCUUUUCAUAGUAACAAUUGCCUCGUCAAUGCUUAUAGUUUUCAUGAUGCUUAAUGAUCUUUGAUUGUAUCUUUAUUGUGCUUUUCACGUAAGGAACUUUUAGAGAAUGUUUUGAGUUGUUGCAUGUGCAUUCCCAUCCAAUUCAAUAACGUAAGGAAGACUUGAAGGUUAAAAAAGUGAUAUCACAGUUAACCUAGGGCAUUGAGAUUCAUAGUUUAUUGAAAGAAGCAAUUGCAAAUCAAUUUGAAUGCAAGUGUAUCAUGUGUGGAGAAGAACCCUCUAGUUGAUCUAUCACCUAUCAAUUUACUUAACUUUGUCUAAAAAUCUAUUUACUUUGUUCUUGUUUUGUUUUAUUUAUUUUCGUCCAAAAUCAACCCCAUCUUAUUUCUUUGAGUCAUAUUGAUGCGUAAAAUAACUAAACACACAAAUUAACCCUCUUGUUGACAAUUGUAGUAUGGAUAAGUAGGGAUCGUUCUUAAACCGGGGAUUAGAAGGGAUUGCUAAAACACUCUAAACUGACUCAAAUCUGUAAAACAAAGUUUAAAAUACUAAACUAGACUCAAAGAAUGCAAAACUAAAAUCUAAAACACUAAAACAAACCAAAAGACUCAAAACAGCAAAUAAACACUCAAAACUGCCUAAAACCCACUUUCUGGGCAGUUUUGGGACUCUAACACAACUUGGACGAAUUUUGGUUUCCUAAUGACCUAAAACACCUAAAAACAUAUUCUAAGACAAGUUCUAAGUAAUAUGACUUAAAGAAAUAAGGUGGGAUUGAUGAUAGGAGCAUAUUUAUGCGACAAUGAUGAGGAUUCGGUUUGUAAUUGCAUGGCUGUUAAAGAAAGUUAUUAACAUGAUGAAAGUUUGAAUUACACUUUGCUUAUGCUUGGUUGUGGUUAUAGCUUAUGAAUUCACAUGCAAUCACAAAGGAUAAAAAUUAGUUUUUGUAACAUGCUUGAAGGAAGGAACUCAAACAAACGCUACAACCUUGUGAGACUUGAGCCUAAACGUUUAUUUGGAGAGUUAAAAUCUGUGCAUUAUUGUUUUCUAAGUCCAUGAUCUCAUUAUUCUUUGCUUGGUUACUACUUAGAAGGCGUUUCAUCAUUUAGUUCCAAAUGCUAGAACUCAUGCCCAUUUCAUUCAAAGCAUGUUAUUGAUUUGCAUAACACAUAUUCAAGAUGAAGUUGUGUAGUUACCACCACCUUAGCCAAAAUGCCGUGUACCCUACUUCAUUUUUAUGUUUAAGUUAACCCUAUUGAGCCUUGUUAGCCUACAUUCUUUGUUAAACCACAUUAACCUCACCUAGCCUAGAUUAGGACCAUCCUUACCCUUGUUCUUGAAGCAUAGUAAAGCAUAAUUCAAAUUGAAUUCCUUUUGAUUUAUAUAUGGCAGAAAACAAGUGUAGGGGAAAGGUUUCAAUUUGGGUAUUUUGGGUGCAAUAGAACACGGCAAGAAAAGAAAAGAAGAAAAAAAUGAUAUUCGUGGAAAAAGAAAAGAAAAAGAAAAAUGUGUGAAAAGAAUGAAAAAGAGUUGAAAAGAUGUGAAAAAAAGAGUCCCAAAGUAUUGUUUGUUGAAGAAAGGGUCCAAAACUUUGAAUUCGGCCCUAAAUAAUGCUUGAAUCCUCCCUUCGUGUUUAAAAGUUGAUUUCUGCAAUCUAAGUGAAUUCUAAGUUUCAAUUUCAUUACUUUGCUUGCUAUUGCUUUAAGAACGUUUGUUUUCCCUUACCUUUCUUUGUUAGCCAAUACCCCAAGCCCCGUUACAACCUUGAACUUCAAUCUUGAGUGUUAUGUGUUUCAAUUUGUGGAGUUUGAAUUUGGUAUGAGCAUAUGGUGUCACUGGUUCUCGCGUCUAAGUAGUAGCAUUCCAUUCAUGAGAUCAUAUCUUGACAUGUUUAUUAACUCCAGAAAUUGCGUUCUUUGUUAUACAUAUAUGUGAGCGUUCGUUUCCAUAUCUACAUCAAUCUUCUCACAUAUAACUAGUAUAGGGUGUGUAGUUAGAAAAUCUGAGUGAAAAUUGAGUGCAUAUCUUGUAAGGAAUUGAGUGAUUUCUCUAAGGCAUGUUACUACAUCAAAAACAUUGUUUUAAUUGAUUAAUUGUGAACUAGUAAGUGGUAACUAUGACUAAGUAUGUACUUAAGUGUAAAGAUGACCAAAAUCUGUGGGGAAUAACGAUUUUUAACAUGUCAUGUGCAUUGGAAAUCCCUGAGGCAAAUGUUGGAAGGUUUAGGUUGUGUUUUAUUUGUUUUGUUUUGUUUUAUUUCUUUGUUUUGCUCGAGGACUAGCAAAAGCUAAUUGAUUUUGGACGAAAAUAAUUAAAUGGGCAGAUUGAAAAAGAAAACAGAUUGUAAGACAAAAUUGUGAUGAAUCAAUGGAUGAUGGAAUGGCUAAGCGGUUCUUCUCCACACUUGAAAUAUAUGCAACGUAAAUCAAUUUCCAGUUAUCAAUUUAAUAAGUUGUGAACCUCGACACUCCAAGUUAAUUAGGUCCGCUUAAAUUAACCUUUAGAUUUCCCUAGAAUCAUUGAAUUGGAUGAAUAUGCAUCGCAAACAAAUUAUUCCUAACAAGUUCUCUAUAUGAACAGCAUGAUAAAGACACAAGUUAGAAUCAUUACGUUCUUUGGAAAUCAUAAGCAUCGACAAGGCAUUUGUAACUAUGAAAAGCAUGAUACUCUUGCCAGGAAUCUACUUAACAUGAUCGUGACUAGCGACCUUCACUACUUGCAAAUAUAAAUUCAUAACGAUUAGGUGAAACAAACUUAUAUCCUAGCACCAAAUUCAAGCAUGCAAAUUAAGCGUGCACUCUCAAUCAACAUACAAGAAUAAGUUCUAAAUCAAACGGUUAAGCAAAUUGUAUUCACGACUUAUGCAACGAUAACUGAAAGUAAUCAACUUAUUUCACAUAUAUAAUCAUGGUUUUGAAUACACCCUUAGCCAAAACGAAUUUAGCCAAUCAUACUUAAAGCAAAACAAAGAUUACAUGAAUUAGACAUUGAAAUAUAAGAUAGAAUACACCUAAAAUUGUUCAACAACUCAGAAUGAAGAGCCAAACAAUUGAGUGAAUCUGUCCCCUUUCCUUGCUUGCGGCAAAUUGGAUGUUGGUGGUUUCUUGGGUUAUUGAAUGAUGUAGAAUGGAUGGAGGACGUAUGGAAGUGUUUAGGGUUGAUGGAUGGUGCGGCUAGGGUGUUUUUGGGUCAGAAAAUAUGGUGAAUGGUGAAGGAAUGGGGCUGUUGAAGUUGGAGUUCAGUUUCUGGCGUGAAUGGUGAGUUUCUGGAUGAAUGGUGAUGUUUGUGGCUGCACAAGGAUGUUUAUUUAAAGGGAUUUAGGAAAUUAAAAACCCUAGACUAUUUUGGUAAACAGAAAUUAAGUCAAAAGCUUCUAGAAAUAGGAAAUUAAAUCAGAAACUUAAGGGAAAUUAGCCAAAAGGUGCGGCACUAACCUAAAACAGAUUAGGAAGGUGUUUACAAGCAAGGAAACAAGAAAUAACUCCCUCCCUUGCACGGCAAGAAUGAGGACUAUGCAAGGAAUGUGUAAUUUGUGUCCUAGAAUGCUUAAAAGGCCUUCAAAGUUGCUGGAACAUAGGGAUAAUUAGGAUUAGGAAAGGUCAAACCAAAAUAAGAAACCUUGGCUUAACUUUCCUACUUCAAUUAGGAAUCCUUGUUGGAGUAGGAAUCCUUGUUCUUCUAGGAAUCCUCAUGUGAUUAGGAAUCCAUCUUCAAUUAGGAAUCCUUCGUUGAUUAGGAAUCCUAAUUUCUUCAAGUCUUCAAUUCAUCCAUUCCUUUUGCUCCAAGCAUGUGACAAUCAUUCCAAGCUCCAUUUUGCUCCAAAAGGCUCCAAAAUGCAUACUUUGCCUUUAGAAUCUGAAAACACACAAAAGUAACUUUAAACACUAAAAUAGCUAACGAAACAUAACAUAAAUACACGAGAACAAGCCAAUUAAGUCGCAUAAAUAUGCUCCUAUCACAUAUUAACUAGAACUUGUCUUAGAAUAUGUUUUUAGGUGUUUUAGGUCAUUAGAAAACCAAAAUUCGUCCAAGUUGUGUUAGAGUCCCAAAACUGCCCAGAAAGUGGUUUUUAGGCAGUUUUGAGUAUUUGGUUGCUGUUUUGAGUCUUUUGGUUUAUUUUAGUGUUUUAGAGUUUAGUUUUGCAUUCUUUGAGUCUAGUUUAGUAUUUUAAACUUUGUUUUACAGAUUUGAGUCAGUUUAGAGUGUUUUAGCAAUCCCUCCUAAUCCUCGGUUUAAGAACGAUCCCUACUUAUCCAUACUACAAUUGUCAACAAGAGGGUUAAUUUGUGUAUUUAGUUAUUUUACGCAUCAAAUUUUGGCGCCGUUGCCGGGGAUUAGCAACUUUGCUAAUCCUUCAUUCUUUUGUUUAUUAUUUAUUUUCGUUUGUUUUCUAUUGCAGAUUGCUAACUUGUUUUGUUUCUUUGUUUUUAGGUACUAGUGCAUGACUCGAAGUUCCAAACCUGUUCGUGAGCAUAUUUUGGACUUUGACGACGAUUUUGAGAGAACUUUGAGAAGAAGGAGGAACCAACAAGAGUCUAACCCACCUAGCUGAUGUGAAAAUUAUGUUGACACACAAAUUAAACCCUAUUGAUGACAAUUGUAGUAAUGAUGCAAGUAGGGAUCGUUCUAGACCGGGGAUUAACUAGGGAUGCUAACCAACACAAAUAAUACUCAAAAACACUAAACUAGACUCUAUAGACUCAAAACUAACUCAAAACACUCAAAACAGCAAAUAACAAUAAAAAAGACUCAAUUCUAGACCUAACAAGUGAUUUGGACGAAAAUAGAACUUCAAAGACUCAAAAGACUUAAAAGAAACAAGUUUUGACUCUAAAAACAAGACUUAAAAGUAAGGGGGUUGAUUUGGACGAAUUUAACUUUUAAAACAAAAACUUUGAAAACAAACUUGACAAAAACGAUUUUGAUGUUAAGAUGGUGAAAGGCUAGUUAAAGGGUUCCUUCUCCACACAUGAAACAUAUGCAUACGACUCGAUUUCCAGUUACUCUUUCAACAAACCAUGAAUGACAAUGCCCCAAAUUAACUAGAUUGCACCAAUUAAUUCUCAGAUUUCCCUAGAUUCAUUGAAUUGAAUGGAAUACGCAUUACAACCAAAUUAUUCUUAUCAAGGACCCUAACUAUGGAAUAUGCAUGAUAUCAAAGAUCAUUAAGUUCAAUGGAAAUCAUAAGCAUUGACGAGGCAUUCAUAACUAUGGGAUAAGCAUGUUACUCUUGCCAAGGAUUUACUUAACACAAUUGUGACUAGCGACUUUUACUACUUAUGAAUAUAAGUUAAUAACGAUUAGGUGAAAUUCCCUUAUACUCUAGCAUCAAAUUCAUGCAUGCGAAGUAAGUAUGCAUCCUUAAUUAACACACAAGAACAAGUUAUCAAUCAAAUAGAUAAGUAAACCACAUUCACGAUUCAUGAAAUCAUAACUGGAGGUAAUCAAGUCAUAUAAAACAUAUGAUCAUGGCUUUGAAUUCCCCUCUAACUAUAAAGAAAUUAGUUCCUCAUGUUCGCAAAUAAACAAAGAUAAAUAAAUUUAAACAUUAACAUAGAGAUAGAAAACACCUAGAAUUGCUCCAACAAUCCAAGCUCCUUGAAUGGCAUGCACGGCUCCAGAUUCCUUCCUUCUUCUCCUUGCAAACUCACGGCACAAUGAGGGGUUUUGGGUGAAUGAUGUAGUGAAAAUAUGGUAGAGGGUGGUGAGUGAAAGGGUGCGGCAUAGGCUUGUAUUUAUAGGCUGAAAAUCCCAUCUCCUAGGUAGCCAAGGACAAGGUUUUAAAGCCCUAAACUGCAUAGGAUAAUAACAUACAAUCCUAUAAGGAAAACAAGUCAAAAACCCAAAAGGAAUGGGAGAUAGUGUGCGGCACAAAGAGUGUGAAAGGAUAAGGCUUCUAGAAACCAAAAUCCCAAGGGAAAUAGGUAUAUGGUGUGGCACAUAUCUAAGGUUCUACAAAGACAAUGCAAGGCAGAUUUCUAGGCUUCUAAAAAGGUUCCUAGGCGCCAUCUUUGUAGGAUAAUAUUAGGUCUUCUAGAAAUCCCAUUUUAAGCAUCCUAAUCUAGUUAGAAACCCUCCCAAGUGGCUGGAAUGUGGAUAGUUUAGGAUUAGGAUAAGAUAGGAUAGGAUAAGGUUUGUUUGGAUAAGAUAAGCUAAGAUAAGGUUAUGGAUGAGGUUUUGGAUAAGAUCCUUCUCUUGAGCUGAUUCUUUGGCUUUAAUUCUUCUUCUUCACAUAGGAAACCUUGCUUGAGUAGGAAACUUCAUGUGUCUAGGAAUCCAUCUUCAAUUAGGACUCCUACAUUGAUUAGGAAUCCUACUUCAUUUAGGAAUCCUUCACUUAAGCCCUUUCCUACUUCAACUAGGAAACUUUGUAUCUUCAAUUCCUCAACUUCAAAACACAUUCCUAGCUUCAUCAAUCCUUCAAAUUCGUCCAUCCCUUGUGCUUCAUGUGCAUGAACUCCAUUCUAGCCCAAUUCUAGCAUAUUUAUGCGCCUUAGUUAGUUAGUUCUUAUGCAUUUAUGUUGUGUUUUCUUAGUUAAGUUAGUCUUUUAAGCUAUUUUCAUGUGUUUUCAGGUUUUAGAGACAAGUGAGCAAAAGGAUGCAAUUUGGAGCAUUUUGGAGCAAAAUUGGGCUAGAAUGGAGUUCAUGCACAUGAGGCACAAGGGAUGGACGAAUUUGAGGAAUUGGUGAAGCUAGGAAGGCGUUUCAAAGUUGAAGAAUUGAAGAUACAAAGUUUCUUAGUUGAAGAAGGAAAUGGCUUGAAUGAAGGAUUCCUAAAUGAAUUGGGAUUCCUAAUCAAUAUAGGAGUCCUAAUUGAAGAUGGAUUCCUAGAUGUAUGAAGUUUCCUACUCAAGCAAGGUUUCCUACAUGAAGAAGAAGAAUUAAAGCUAAAGAAUCAGCUCAAGAUAAGGUAUCUUAUCCAAAACCUCAUCCAUAACCUUAUCUUAGCUUAUCUUAUUCAAAUAAACCUCAUCCUAUCCUAUCUUAUCCUUAUCCUAAACUAUCCACAUUUCAGCCAAUUAGGGGGGUUUCUAACUAGAUUAGGAUGCUUAAAAUGGGAUUUCUAGAAGACCUAACCUUAUCCUACACAAAAGGGCGCCUAGAACCUUUCUAGAAACCCCUAAAAAUCUGCCUUGUAUUAUCCUUCUAGAACCCUAACUUUGUGCCGAAUUUUCUACCUUAUUUCCUUUAGGAUUUUGGUUUCUAGAAGCCUUAUCAUUUCACACUCUUUGUGCUGCAUCUUAUCUCCCAAUCCCAUUGGAUGUUAUUAUCCUAUGCAAUUUAGCCUUUAAAACCUUGUCCUUUGCUACCUAGGAAUGUGAAUUUUCAGCCUAUAUAUACAACCCAUUGCCGCACCUAUUCAUUCACCACCCUCUACCAGAUUUUCACUACACCAUUCACCAUUCAUACCUCUUGUGCCGUGAGUUUGCAAGGAGAAGAAGGAAGAC